rnacentral:rRNA from 1 species
AAUGCAGUCGAGCGAAUGGAUUAAGAGCUUGCUCUUAUGAAGUUAGCGGCGCACGGGUGAGUAACACGUGGGUAACCUGCCCAUAAGACUGGGAUAACUCCGGGAAACCGGGGCUAAUACCGGAUAACAUUUUGAACCGCAUGGUUCGAAAUUGAAAGGCGGCUUCGGCUGUCACUUAUGGAUGGACCCGCGUCGCAUUAGCUAGUUGGUGAGGUAACGGCUCACCAAGGCAACGAUGCGUAGCCGACCUGAGAGGGUGAUCGGCCACACUGGGACUGAGACACGGCCCAGACUCCUACGGGAGGCAGCAGUAGGGAAUCUUCCGCAAUGGACGAAAGUCUGACGGAGCAACGCCGCGUGAGUGAUGAAGGCUUUCGGGUCGUAAAACUCUGUUGUUAGGGAAGAACAAGUGCUAGUUGAAUAAGCUGGCACCUUGACGGUACCUAACCAGAAAGCCACGGCUAACUACGUGCCAGCAGCCGCGGUAAUACGUAGGUGGCAAGCG